rnacentral:rRNA from 1 species
GAUGAACGCUGGCGGCGUGCCUAAUACAUGCAAGUCGAGCGAACGGACGAGAAGCUUGCUUCUCUUAUGUUAGCGGCGGACGGGUGAGUAACACGUGGAUAACCUACCUAUAAGACUGGGAUACCUUCGGGAAACCUUAGCUAAUACCGGAUAAUAUUUUGAACCGCAUGGUUCAAAAGUGAUCGCCGGUCUUGCUGUCACUUAUAGAUGUAUCCGCGCUGCAUUAGCUAGUUGGUAAGGUAACGGCUUACCAAGGCAACGAUGCAUAGCCGACCUGAGAGGGUGAUCAGCCACACUGGAACUGAGACACGGUCCAGACUCCUACGGGAGGCAGCAGUAGGGAAUCUUCGGCAAUGGGCGAAAGCCUGACGGAGCAACGCCGCGUGAGUGAUGAAGGUCUUCGGAUCGUAAAACUCUGUUAUUAGGGAAGAACAGAUGUGUAAGUAAAUGUGCACAUCUUGACGGUACCAAAACAGAAAGCCACGGCUAACUACGUG